rnacentral:rRNA from 1 species
UAGGGAAUAUUGGACAAUGGGGGAAACCCUGAUCCAGCCAUGCCGCGUGAGUGAUGAAGGCCCUAGGGUUGUAAAGCUCUUUCGGCGGGGAAGAUAAUGACGGUACCCGCAUAAGAAGCCCCGGCUAACUUCGUGCCAGCAGCCGCGGUAAUACGAAGGGGGCUAGCGUUGUUCGGAAUUACUGGGCGUAAAGCGCGCGUAGGCGGCUUUGUAAGUUAGAGGUGAAAGCCCGGAGCUCAACUCCGGAACUGCCUUUAAGACUGCAUCGCUAGAAUUGUGGAGAGGUGAGUGGAAUUCCGAGUGUAGAGGUGAAAUUCGUAGAUAUUCGGAAGAACACCAGUGGCGAAGGCGACUCACUGGACACAUAUUGACACUGAGGUGCGAAAGCGUGGGGAGCAAA